rnacentral:rRNA from 1 species
AUCGGUGUUGAUUACGCUGAGGGUCCACCCGUUCCCAUACCGAACACGGUAGUUAAGCUCAUGCGUGCCGACGAUAGUCGGAGGGCAACUUCCCGCAAAAAUAGGUAACGCCGAUA